GGCUCGAGGUGCGCCGCCCGUCAGGGCCCGCAGCCCCCCUGCGCGGGAGGCCCGAGGGCGCGGGUAGCGCACCGCGGUGGGGCUUCCAACGGCCUUGGGGCCGCAGCGGAAAGAGUACAGAAAAUGGGUUUCUCCCUUUUGACUUUGCUGGUUGUCUAAAAUAAGUGGCAGAUACUUUCCCUCCUGCAGUGUACCAGAUGGACCUGUUCCUGGAUGGAGAAGUGAAAAGAAUCAUGUGUGUGCAUCCCUUGUCUCAGGCAUCUCAGAAGACAAAACUGGAUUGAAAUGAGGCAGAGGGCUGAAGCAAGUCAGACAGCAUUCUUGUAUUUCAGCUAGUUAAAAGCUGUCCUGGGAAACUGGAUUCUGCCCCUGGCUCCCUGAUGGCAG